UGACCCUUAAGCCCCUGUUGCUUAGUGUUGGGACUCUACGAUUACAGCGUAGUUCCUUAAAGUUAGUUGGCAGAGUUAGGGUAUACUCUCAGCGUAGUAAAAUUUUUCCUCGCUUUUGCAGUUACCCAAGCUAUAGCCAUUAAACCUUUUUAUUUUUCCAAAGG
rnacentral:misc_RNA from 1 species